GUGCGUCUUCAGGGCGGGGUGGAAUUCCCCACCGGCGGUAGGCUGGCGUCAAGCCGGCGAGCCCGCGAGCGCCCGCGCGUCAUGCGCGGGGUCAGCAGAUCUGGUCGAAUGCCAGAGCCGACGGUCACAGUCCGGAUGAGAGAAGAUGUGC
rnacentral:ncRNA from 1 species